rnacentral:piRNA from 1 species
CGGUAACUGUCAGAUUUGCACGG